UAACACAUGCAAGUCGAACGGACGAGGAGGAGCUUGCUUCUCCGAGUUAGUGGCGGACGGGUGAGUAACACGUGAGCAACCUGCCCUUGAGAGGGGGAUAGCUUCUGGAAACGGAUGGUAAUACCCCAUAACAUAUAUUUUAGGCAUCUAAGAUAUAUCAAAGAAAUUCGCUCAAGGAUGGGCUCGCGUCUGAUUAGAUAGUUGGUGAGGUAACGGCCCACCAAGUCGACGAUCAGUAGCCGGACUGAGAGGUUGAACGGCCACAUUGGGACUGAGACACGGCCCAGACUCCUACGGGGGGCAGCAGUGGGGAAUAUUGCACAAUGGGGGGAACCCUGAUGCAGCGAUGCCGCGUGGAGGAAGAAGGUUUUCGGAUUGUAAACUCCUUUUAACAGGGACGAUAAUGACGGUACCUGAAGAAAAAGCUCCGGCUAACUACGUGCCAGCAGCCGCGGUAAUACGUAGGGAGCGAGCGUUGUCCGGAAUUACUGGGUGUAAAGGGAGCGUAGGCGGGACGGUAAGUCAGGUGUGAAAUAUACGUGCUCAACAUGUAGACUGCACUUGAAACUGCUGUUCUUGAGUGAAGUAGAGGUAAGCGGAAUUCCUAGUGUAGCGGUGAAAUGCGUAGAUAUUAGGAGGAACAUCGGUGGCGAAGGCGGCUUACUGGGCUUUUACUGACGCUGAGGCUCGAAAGCGUGGGG
rnacentral:rRNA from 1 species